GAUGAACGCUGGCGGCGUGCUUAACACAUGCAAGUCGAACGAAGCUGCUUAACUGAUCUUCUUCGGAAUUGAUGUUUUGUAGACUGAGUGGCGGACGGGUGAGUAACGCGUGGGUAACCUACCCUGUACAGGGGGAUAACAGUCAGAAAUGACUGCUAAUACCGCAUAAGACCACAGCACCGCAUGGUGCAGGGGUAAAAGCUCCGGUGGUACAGGAUGGACCCGCGUCUGAUUAGCUGGUUGGUGAGGUAACGGCUCACCAAGGCGACGAUCAGUAGCCGGCUUGAGAGAGUGAACGGCCACAUUGGGACUGAGACACGGCCCAAACUCCUACGGGAGGCAGCAGUGGGGAAUAUUGCACAAUGGGGGAAACCCUGAUGCAGCGACGCCGCGUGAGUGAAGAAGUAUCUCGGUAUGUAAAGCUCUAUCAGCAGGGAAGAAAAUGACGGUACCUGACUAAGAAGCCCCGGCUA
rnacentral:rRNA from 1 species